CUCUCUCUCUCUCUAAAGCAGCGUAGAAGCUAAAGCAGCGUAGAAGCUAAGCAACUUUCUCGGUGGGGGGAGGCUGUCGCCUCCUCCCCGCCACCCCCACCCCCAUCCCACAGCGAGUCAAUCCACUGUUUCCUUUCCAAGAAUAAGCCUCUUUUUAGUUCACUCCAUUGUUUGUUCCGCCGAUCGGAGAUCCGGAGUCCUGUCCGCUGCCUCUCCUCGGUUUGUUCCUCCUGCAGCUCCGGUGGUUUGUCCCUCCGUUAACCAGCGUCCUCCGACAACUGAGCCCCCUCCAGCGUCCUCGGAUCCGGCCAUGCAUGCUUUCCUUGCUUGCCCGACUUCCCCCUUCGUGUCUCCCCUCCCCGUCGGGCGGCAAGGCCUUGAUCCAGCCGAUCGGCUCCCUCCUCUAUUCGCCCCUUUCCCAGUCCGAUUGGAUGGAAUCUUUCGAUUGAUUCUGACUCCCCUUGUUCCCGUCCCCGUCGGAACCAAUCGGAAAUUUUCCAUGCAUGGCUUCUUCCUUGAAGGUUGUUGGCCGAGGUAGGUCCUGGCUCAUUGACUAACUGAUCUGCGUCGGCCGCCGUUAAAAAUGGGCGCGAUCCGGCCAGCAGUUUGGUCCUCUGUUCUGGGUUUGCUCGAUGCAUCACCUACCAUAAAGGAGAUCGGCUGUUGGGACUGCACGGUAUGUGCUUGUGGUAAAGUCUUUUUGCAGGUUUGCUUGGAGGCAGGUUGUGGCGGAGAUUUCACGGUGUUUCCGAGUUUCUAUGGUGGCAGCCUCCUUACGGAUGUGUUUCUAAGUAGAUGCAUUAGCUUAAAUUGUUGCUUUUUAGUUUUAUUUACUUUUGUUAUGUUCUGGAAUUGUUGCUCACACAAUUUCCACACUUCCCAUACUAUGCUCAGUUCUUUAGGCCUCUUAUUGGCCUACGCU